CCUACGGGAGGCUGCAGUGGGGAAUAUUGGGCAAUGGGCGCAAGCCUGACCCAGCAACGCCGCGUGAAGGAAGAAGGCUUUCGGGGUGUAAACUUCUUUUAAGAGGGAAGAGCAGAAGACGGUACCUCUUGAAUAAGCCACGGCUAACUACGUGCCAGAAGCCGCGGUAAUACGUAGGUGGCAAGCGUUGUCCGGAUUUACUGGGUGUAAAGGGCGUGCAGCCGGGAAGACAAGUCAGAUGUGAAAUCCCGCGGCUCAACCGCGGAACUGCAUUUGAAACUGUUUUUCUUGAGUACCGGAGAGGUCAUCGGAAUUCCUUGUGUAGCGGUGAAAUGCGUAGAUAUAAGGAAGAACACCAGUGGCGAAGGCGGAUGACUGGACGGCAACUGACGGUGAGGCGCGAAAGCGUGGGGAGCAAACAGGAUUAGAUACCCCAGUAGUC
rnacentral:rRNA from 1 species